AUUCCUGACCUAACUACUUCGGUUUUCCCUUGAUGCUCUCAACCGAGUGUCUUGGGCGACCGAAACGUUUACUUUGAAAAAUUAGAGUGCUCAAAGCAGGCGUUCAGCCUGAAUAGUGGUGCAUGGAAUAAUAAAAGAGGAUCUCGGUUCUAUUUUGUUGGUAUUGGAUUGAGAUAAUGAUCGACGGGGAUAGACGGGGGCAUUCGUAUUGCGACGUUAGAGGUGAAAUUCUUGGAUCGUCGCCAGACGAACAACUGCGAAGGCAUUUGCCAAGAAUAUGCUCUUCAAUCAAGAACGAAAGCGAGAGGCGCGAACGCGAUCAGAUACCGCGGUAGUUCUCGCCGUAAACGAUGCCAACUAGCGAUCCGCCGGAGUUAAAUGAUGACUCGGCGGGCAGCUUCCGGGAAACCAAAGUUUUUGGGUUCCGGGGGAAGUAUGGUUGCAAAGCUGAAACUUAAAGGAAUUGACGGAAGGGCACCACCAGGAGUGGAGCCUGCGGCUUAAUUUGACUCAACACGGGGAAACUCACCCGGCCCGGACACCGUAAGGAUUGACAGAUUGAGAGCUCUUUCUUGAUUCGGUGGGUGGUGGUGCAUGGCCGUUCUUAGUUGGUGGAGCGAUUUGUCUGGUUAAUUCCGAUAACGAACGAGACUCUAGCCUGCUAAAUAGACAGUGAAUCGUUAGUUCACUGUACUUCUUAGAGGGACAAGCGGCAUCUAGCUGCACGAGAUUGAGCAAUAACAGGUCUGUGAUGCCCUUAGAUGUUCGGGGCUGCACGCGCGCUACACUGAAGGAAUCAACAUGCAUUCUACCUUACCCGAAAGGGUUUGGUAACCCGUUGAAACUCCUUCGUGAUUGGGAUAGGGACUUGCAAUUAUGGCCCUUGAACGAGGAAUUCCCAGUAAGUGCGGGUCAUCAGCUCGCGUUGAUUACGUCCCUGCCCUUUGUACACACCGCCCGUCGCUACUACCGAUUGGAUGAUUCAGUGAACUAUUCGGACUGAUGUCGAAGCGGCCUCACGGCUGCUUCGGUCUUUCGGAAAGAUUCGUAAGCUCAAUCAUCUAGAGGAAGUAAAAGUCGUAACAAGGUUUCCGUAGGUGAACCUGCGGAAG
rnacentral:rRNA from 1 species